rnacentral:lncRNA from 10 species
CAACUCCCUGCCCCAGCAAGCCCCCAAGCCCACUCACUCCUGGGAUGUGUCACAGUUGCUUUGCCAGUUCCCUGGGACUCCCCCUUGCUCUGUGAUAUCAGCCUUCUUUCUGGAAUAGAGAAGACGUGGAUGCCUGCCCCAUCCACAUCUCACUAAUCCUUUCUCUGUUGUUUGCACACUGCCUCAACUGGGGAUCCUGUGUGCCGUGCUUUCUGCAGAAGAGCCACACAGCCUCAAGGUCAUGGAGGCUGUGAACAUGGGUGGGACCAAGACGCAGCUCAGAAACAGGGUCUCUGCCUGGAGGAACCCCAUCUAAGCAGAAAGACACCUUCUCUGUGCACCUUUCUUCAAUGUCUCCAUCCUACUCUCUGCAGCAGUGUCCUUCAGGCACCCCUCAUGUUUCAUUACAGCCACAGGAAUCAGG